rnacentral:rRNA from 1 species
GACGAACGCUGGCGGCGUGCUUAACACAUGCAAGUCGAGCGGUAAGGCCCUUUCGGGGGUACACGAGCGGCGAACGGGUGAGUAACACGUGGGUGACCUGCCCUCAGCUCUGGGAUAAGCCUGGGAAACCGGGUCUAAUACUGGAUAUGACUCCAUGACGCAUGUUGUGGGGUGGAAAGCCUUGUGCGGCUGAGGAUGGGCCCGCGGCCUAUCAGCUUGUUGGUGGGGUGAGGCCUACCAAGGCGACGACGGGUAGCCGGCCUGAGAGGGCGACCGGCCACACUGGGACUGAGACACGGCCCAGACUCCUACGGGAGGCAGCAGUGGGGAAUCUUGCGCAAUGGGCGAAAGCCUGACGCAGCGACGCCGCGUGAGGGAUGACGGCCUCGGUU